rnacentral:rRNA from 1 species
GGGCCCGCACAAGCGGUGGAGCAUGUGGUUUAAUUCGAUGAUACGCGAGGAACCUUACCAGGGCUUAAAUGUAGUGGGACAGGUCUAGAGAUAGACCCUUCUUCGGACUCAUUACAAGGUGCUGCAUGGUUGUCGUCAGCUCGUGCCGUGAGGUGUCAGGUUAAGUCCUAUAACGAGCGCAACCCCUAUCGUUAGUUGCCAGCGGGUAAUGCCGGGAACUCUAGCGAAACUGCCGGUGCAAACCGUGAGGAAGGUGGGGAUGACGUCAAAUCAUCACGGCCCUUACGUCCUGGGCUACACACGUGCUACAAUGGUCGGUACAGAGAGCAGCCACUACGCGAGUAGGAGCGAAUCUUCAAAACCGAUCUCAGUUCGGAUCGCAGUCUGCAACUCGACUGCGUGAAGCUGGAAUCGCUAG